UAAACGACUCUCGGCAACGGAUAUCUCGGCUCACGCAUCGAUGAAAAACGUAGCAAAAUGCGAUACUUGGUGUGAAUUGCAGAAUCCCGUGAACCAUCGAGUUUUUGAACGCAAGUUGCGCCCGAAGCCGUUCGGCCGAGGGCACGUCUGCCUGGGCGUCACGC
rnacentral:rRNA from 1 species